rnacentral:lncRNA from 1 species
CGGUGGGGCACGAUUCAGUCCACUGCACACCGUUCUCCUCUCCAGACCUCUCACUGGCAAGUCCUUUCAUCUCAAUUUCAGUUCUGUGAGGCCGUCCUACUAUUGUCUAUCACCCUGUUUGAUUUUUUUGUAGCCUCAUCAUUUAUUCAUUACAGUUUCUUAAGUUCUUUUUUUUAGGGAGCUUGUCAUUGCCUAGAAGAGUGCUGGGCACACAAUAGUGAUACUGAAUAUACAACUAAAAUCAUGUAAUAUAGCACAUGAGAUUCUUAAUGCUAAAAUUAAGACUUUUUAACAUGAAAAAUGCUCUUAAGGGCAGAAAUGAAGCAAAUUUCAGGCAAGAUGGCAGACAAGACUGAAACGGAUUCAUCCAUCAACUGCUACAGACUUAAAAAACAAAAUAUGCCCAAUGCAAAGCUGAGCUCAGGAAAUCCUCAGAUGCUAGAGAUAAAGACAAAAUCCAGUUGCAGAAGUGAGUUCCAGGUGAUGCCAGGAGACCCCAGGAAGUAUCAGAUUAGGUCACAAAACUAGGAAUAAGGUUUUAAUGUCUUCAGAAAAACAGAGCAUUUGGUGAGAGAAGGGAACUAAUCCGAGACUCCCGCAUACAACCAGGACACUUGAAGGGCUGCCUCACCUGUGAAAAAGAAACUGGAAAAAUCUCUUCAAAUCUGUCUGUGGAAACAGAAAGACAGCCUGGUGUUUGACAAAGCUCUCGGUGGGACAAACCUCCUCUGAGAAAUGGAAACCUAGGAAAUCAAAAGCCCAGAAAUUAAGGGAAAGCAUUAGUCUCAGAUAAUGAAAAGGAAACCCUUGGGGCCCGGGCCAAAGCAAAUGUAAAAACAUGAACACUUGCAUAAUCUCGUACAUGGGACUCACAGAAAAUGCAACCCCUAAUAUAGAUGAGCUCGCAAUGAAAAAUUAUCCACCACUGUGGCAAUGCAGUCACCAAAAGGAAGACUCAACAGACCAAUGAGCAUAGACACGAGCUGUGGAGGUAACAACUGGAAACAGAAGAAUAAAAUCUCAAGAUAAAUAAUUUAAAAAUACUUAACAUGGAAAAAUAUUUCACUUAAAAAAUAUAACUUUUAGAAAAAAUAUAGUAUCAUUAACUUAAAAAUUCAGUAGCUAGGUUGAACAAUAAAUUCACCACAAAUGAAAAGAGAAUUAGAGAUCUGGAUCACGGAGCUGGAAGAUGAAUGCAGAGGCAGCACAGGGAGGUAAAGCAAUGGAAAAGAUCGCAGGGAGUCCCAAGACCCGGGAUGCUCCCUCGAGUCACUCACAGGAGCUCCAGAGGAAAGGACAGAUCAUGGGGAAAGGCAAUAUUUGAAGCAACAAUGACUGGGAAUUUUUCAUAAUUAAGAAAGAUGUAAAUAUUCAGAGGGAAAAUGCAGAUCUAGACACUUUUCAGAAACACUAUGAAACUCCAAAGUCAAGGAAAAGAUUAAAAGCAACUAGAAACAAAAGACAGUUUACAAUAAAAGAUCCAAAUUAGAUGGAAAUUACAUGUCUCAUUAAUAAAAUAGAGGUCAGAGAAAAGGGUAAAAAAUGUUCAACAUGCUCAAAGAACAAAAGUUAUUCAUCUACAAUACAACUUAGUAAAAUUAUCAUUCAAAAAUAAAGACAAAUCAAAUGUAUUUGACUAAGACUGAAGGGUAUUUUUUUAACCCCUGGAUCAUCAACUUUACCAAAGGAUAAAAUUUAUUAAAAAUAUGAUCAGCUUGUCGAAAGAAUGAAUCAAUGACACUCUGUCUUCGUGGAGAGCAGCCUGGGUGUGGAAUCAGGCACCCCCGGGUUCAAAGCCAUCACUGGCGAACUCACAAAGAGUGGGACUCACCGACCUGAGGGUUUGCCAGCACACUCGUAGCCCGCGGGACUAGAGUAUUUGUGAGAGAGGAGUGUGGUCUUUUGAUUGAAGAACAGAAGUCAUUCGUGAAGGACACAGCACACACAGCCCAGAGAGCUCGCAGGUUAAAACUGCACAUGGAGCAAUGUCUGCCAGCCAUUCAGGGUACUUCAAAAUAGCAAACACAGUAUUCACAAUCAAGUUAUUUAGACCUUUUAGAUUGUAUACAAAUGACAUAGAAAAAUGUACAGCCAGUCCACUGGGUUGUAAUUUUAGAAACAAACAUCUCAAGUCAUAAUAAUAAAGUAGAGUUUUAAAAAGUUACUAGGUUUUCUUUAUUUGCCAUAAGAAAGACUGAACUUCUUAGUAUGUAGUUUGAAGAGUAUUUUCUUUAACUCAUUGAAGCCUACAGAGAAAAUUCAAAUCCACAGAGAAUAAGAGGGUCAUUCUCCAGAUUCUCAUUAGACAAUUUGUGGAAAUGGUGUCUCUCUUCUCACAGUGAACCCUGACUCCUCCAUGACUGCUGGAGAAGAC